AGGACACAAAGGACUUGUGGAACACAAGAAAAAGUUUUGGUUCAGCCUAUGGACACGAUCUGGGGAGGUAACUGCUGAACCAAAACCUACAAGACAAUAAGAGGUAUUUUGUCAAAGCAACAGAAGGAUGAAUGUGUAUCACACGUGUCCUUUCUGGCUCUAGGAAGGUGAAGAAUGUUAUUAUAAUCUACAAUCUUGUCCAAUUGGCCUAGGAAGACAAUGGAUUUGUUCUUAGGACGAGAACAUUUUUUCAGCUAGAGAAAGACAGUAAGAGGUAAACUUCUGAUAAAAUUACCUUGGCCACAGAUUAGAUGUAAACUGAGCAGACAAUAAACCAUGAUGUUUAUUUUCCUC